rnacentral:lncRNA from 1 species
CUGCUCAACUACAUCUUUAGAAAAACUGCUCUGUACCUCUAGUUGUCAUGGUUUGGGGAAAAAAGUACCGGUAGGUGGCGUUCAGAAAUAUUCAGCACUGCUCAUAGGUUUUAUUUGGUGGAUGCAAGUUCUUUUUACUGCAACUGUUCUUGAAUAUGGAGGCAUUUAAGAAGUGAGUUUAGGAAGGAGGUCCCUGCUUUGUCUGUCAAUAUGAAAUGGACUUCUGUGACUGGAGCUUCUCUAAAUGCUUCUGAGGGCAGAGGGGACACAGACUACUCUAUCACUAGACGUUACAGCGGUACUUGGGCGUAGCUACAUUUGAAAGCCAAGGUCGUUUCUCAUGCCCAGAGAAGACAAGAUUCACCUUUCUGUGAACAUCCAGAGAAGUGCUACAGUGUGGACCCAGAGUGGCACCUCAGUCUCUUCAUUGAUACUCUCCCAUGUCACGGCUCAGUGCUGCGUGCACUGCCUCACGUGAGUAGCUUUACUCUCCUGAGAAGAGCCAUGCACUUCAGUCGGGCCAUUUAUCCUAACAAGAGCUUGCAGAAUUGGGUCUUUUCAGUAAGGCACUUAAAGAGGCUUUUUCAAGCCGUUAGGAUUUCAGGACAUCAUUUUAAUUGUUGGACAUUUGUAAAGGAUUCCCAUUCCUCCACAAACGCACAUUAA